CCUACGGGAGGCAGCAGUGAGGAAUAUUGGUCAAUGGACGAGAGUCUGAACCAGCCAAGUAGCGUGAAGGAUGACUGCCCUAUGGGUUGUAACCUUCUUUUAUAAAGGAAUAAAACGAGGCACGUGUGCCUUUUUGCAUGUACUUUAUGAAUAAGGAUCGGCUAACUCCGUGCCAGCAGCCGCGGUAAUACGGAGGAUCCGAGCGUUAUCCGGAUUUAUUGGGUUUAAAGGGAGCGUAGAUGGGUUGUUAAGUCAGUUGUGAAAGUUUGCGGCUCAACCGUAAAAUUGCAAUUGAUACUGGCAGUCUUGAGUACAGGUGAGGUAAGCGGAAUUCGUGGUGUAGCGGUGAAAUGCUUAGAUAUCACGAAGAACCCCGAUUGCGAAGGCAGCUUACUAAACUGUGACUGACAUUGAUGCUCGAAAGUGUGGGUAUCAAACAGGAUUAGAUACCCCUGUAGUC
rnacentral:rRNA from 1 species